UUGGUUCCCCCGCAAUGAUAAUUUGUGAAUUUGGUCAGGCCCGGAAGGGAGCAGCCACAGCAAACGACUCAUGUGCCGGGGUGUAGCUGG
rnacentral:SRP_RNA from 1 species